UACAGAGGGUGCGAGCGUUAAUCGGAAUUACUGGGCGUAAAGCGCACGUAGGCGGCUUGGUAUGUCGGGUGUGAAAUCCCCGGGCUUAACCUGGGAAUGGCAUUUGGGACUGCAAGGCUUGAGUGCGGCAGAGGAGACUAGAAUUCCUGGUGUAGCAGUGAAAUGCGUAGAUAUCAGGAGGAAUACCGAUGGCGAAGGCAGGUCUCUGGGCUGACACUGACGCUCAUGCACGAAAGCGUGGGGAGCAAACAGG
rnacentral:rRNA from 1 species